rnacentral:lncRNA from 1 species
GAUAUGUUUGGCAUAUCUUGAAGAAGCAGAAACAUCACUGAAUAUCCAUCAGAUUGCAAGCCCUGCUAUUCCUCCUUCCCUUCUCCUCAACAUUUAGGUAAACUGUGAAAAUCUAAAAAUAUGAAAACUAAGUCUUCAGAGCGGCAGCAAUGAAUCAAACCUAUUACUGAGACUUUAAGCCUCUCCAGCUGCAUGUGAAGGAGGUGUGAAAAAAUGAAAGUUCAAUAAUCUAAAAAAAAGUAGUGCCUUUCCGCACUUUGUGGGAUGGUGGUGAUUGUGGAGCACACAAAGUAGUAUUCACUCAGUGGGUGAUUUUUGCAGUAGCAGUCUGAUCUAAGUCUAAAUCUCAAUCCAAAAUUAAAACUCAAGAUGUGUUUCAUUGCUUCUGAGCCAACAUUUUUCUGAACUGUAUUCUCUAGCUAAGCUCUUCUAUGUCUCUGAUCAUCUUGUGAUUUUACCUUAUUUCAAGUGAAAGUCUUUAGAACAUCCCUUUUGAAAAAAAAUGUGCAAUUUUAAAACACACCUGCCUGGAUGAUUGCUUCUUAUUUUCAUUACCUCAUUUGGAAAAUCAUAAAUUGUCUCUUAUAUAAGAUGGAAUAGUAAAAUGGAGUGGAAAAUGUCUCCAGAAUUUCAUGUUUCUUACUGUGUUAUCCUGGGAGAUCCUCAAUUUACAGAAUAUAGCUACAAGGAUUUUUCAGUCUUUU